GAUGAACGCUGGCGGCGUGCCUAAUACAUGCAAGUCGAGCGAACGGACGAGAAGCUUGCUUCUCUGAUGUUAGCGGAGGACGGGUGAGUAACACGUGGAUAACCUACCUAUAAGACUGGGAUAACUUCGGGACACCGGAGCUAAUACCGGAUAAUCUUUUGAACCGUAUGGUUCAAAAGUGAAAGACGGUCUUGCUGUCACUUCUAGAUGGAUCCGCGCUGCAUUAGCUAGUUGGUAAGGUAACGGCUUACCACGGCAACGAUGCAUAGCCGACCUGAGAGGGGGGUCGGCCACACGGGAGCGGAGACGCGGUCCAGGGGCCUGCGGGAGGGAGCAGUAGGGAAUGGUCCGCAGUGGGCGGAAGCCUGGCGGAGCAGCGGCGCGUGAGAGGUGGAGGUCUUGGGAGCGUGAAGCUCUGUUAUUAGGGAAGAACAGAUGUGUAAGGAACUGUGCACAGCGUGACGGUACCUAAUCAGAAAGCCACGGCUAACUACGUG
rnacentral:rRNA from 1 species